GUGCUUGCACCUGAUUGAUUUUGGUCGCCAACGAGUGGCGGACGGGUGAGUAACACGUAGGUAACCUGCCCAGAAGCGGGGGACAACAUUUGGAAACAGAUGCUAAUACCGCAUAACAACGUUGUUCGCAUGAACAACGCUUAAAAGAUGGCUUCUCGCUAUCACUUCUGGAUGGACCUGCGGUGCAUUAGCUUGUUGGUGGGGUAAUGGCCUACCAAGGCGAUGAUGCAUAGCCGAGUUGAGAGACUGAUCGGCCACAAUGGGACUGAGACACGGCCCAUACUCCUACGGGAGGCAGCAGUAGGGAAUCUUCCACAAUGGGCGCAAGCCUGAUGGAGCAACACCGCGUGAGUGAAGAAGGGUUUCGGCUCGUAAAGCUCUGUUGUUAAAGAAGAACACGUAUGAGAGUAACUGUUCAUACGUUGACGGUAUUUAACCAGAAAGUCACGGCUAACUACGUGCCAGCAGCCGCGGUAAUACGUAGGUGGCAAGCGUUAUCCGGAUUUAUUGGGCGUAAAGAGAGUGCAGGCGGUUUUCUAAGUCUGAUGUGAAAGCCUUCGGCUUAACCGGAGAAGUGCAUCGGAAACUGGAUAACUUGAGUGCAGAAGAGGGUAGUGGAACUCCAUGUGUAGCGGUGGAAUGCGUAGAUAUAUGGAAGAACACCAGUGGCGAAGGCGGCUACCUGGUCUGCAACUGACGCUGAGACUCGAAAGCAUGGGUAGCGAACAGGAUUAGAUACCCUGGUAGUCCAUGCCGUAAACGAUGAGUGCUA
rnacentral:rRNA from 2 species